rnacentral:tRNA from 1 species
GGAGAAUUAGCUCAGCUGGGAGAGCAUCUGCCUUACAAGCAGAGGGUCGGCGGUUCGAACCCGGCAUUCUCCACCA